rnacentral:rRNA from 1 species
GACGAACGCUGGCGGCGCGCUUAACACAUGCAAGUCGAACGGAAAGGCCUGCUUUCCCUUGUGGAUUGCGGGUACUCGAGUGGCGAACGGGUGAGUAACACGUGAGUGAUCUGCCCCCAACUUGGGUAUAAGCCUGGGAAACUGGGUCUAAUUCCCGAUAGGACUGCAGGGUGGUGCCUGUGGUGGAACACGAUUUUCUAGUGGUUGGGGAUGAGCUCGCGGCCUAUCAGCUUGUUGGUGGGGUAAUGGCCUACCAAGGCGGCGACGGGUAGCCGGCCUGAGAGGGUGGACGGGCACAUUGGGACUGAGAUACGGCCCAGACUCCUACGGGAGGCAGCAGUGGGGAAUAGUGGACGAUGGGCGGAAGCCUGAUGCAGCGACGCAGCGUGGGGGAUGACGGCCUGCGGGUGGUAAACUCCUUUCGACCGCGAGGAAGCCACCUGGUUGGAAGGGUGGUGACGGUAGUGGUAGAAGAAGCACCGGCUAACUACGUG